AGGUUUCCAGGGGAAGGUUCGUCCGCCCUGGGUUAGUCGGGACCUAAGCUGAGGGCGAAAGGCGUAGGUGAUGGACAAGCGGUUGAUAUUCCUUUACUACCGAUAACCGUUGGAUAGAAGGGAGGACACCGUAGGAUAAGCUAAGCACACUGUUGGUUAUGUGUGCCCAAGCAUUGAGGCAGUCAAAGUAGGCAAAUCCGCUUUGAUAAUGCUGGGAGGUGAUGGGGAGCGAAAUUUAGUAGCGAAGUAGCUGAUUUCACACUGUCAAGAAAAGUCUCUAUCGAGGUUAAAGGUACCCGUACCGCAAACCGACACAGGUGGGUGAGGAGAGUAUCCUAAGGCCAGCGAGAGAACUGUUGUUAAGGAACUCGGCAAAAUGACCCCGUAACUUAGGGAUAAGGGGUGCCACCAUCAGGUGGCCGCAGAGAAUAGGCCCAAGCGACUGUUUACCAAAAACAUAGGUUUCUGCUAAGUCGCAAGACGAUGUAUAGGAGCUGACGCCUGCCCGGUGCUGG
rnacentral:rRNA from 1 species